GCUUAACACAUGCAAGUCGAGCGAGAAUCGUUUUGCUGAAGGCUUCGGUCUGACGCAGAAUGAGGAAAGCGGCGAACGGGUGAGUAACGCGUGGGCAACCUGGCCUUAAGAAAAGGAUAGCCCCCGGAAACGGGGAGUAAUACUUUAUGAGAAUGAAAGAGGGCAUCCUGUUUCUAUUCAAAGCGCAAGCGCUUAAGGAUGGGCCCGCGUAUCAUUAGCUAGUUGGUGAGAUAACAGCCCACCAAGGCAACGAUGAUUGGCCCGUCUGAGAGGGCGAACGGCCAAAUUGGAACUGAGAGACGGGCCAAACUCCUACGGGAGGCAGCAGUGGGGAAUAUUGCGCAAUGGAGAAGAACUCUGACGCAGCAAUACCGCGUGAGCGAAGAAGGUCUUCGGAUCGUAAAGCUCUGUUAUCAGGGAAGAAGAAAAUGACGGUACCUGAUGAGCAAGUCCCGGCUAACUACGUGCCAGCCGCCGCAGUAACAC
rnacentral:rRNA from 1 species